rnacentral:rRNA from 1 species
CCUACGGGAUGCAGCAGUGAGGAAUAUUGGUCAAUGGCCGGAAGGCUGAACCAGCCAUGCCGCGUGAAGGUCAGUGCCCUAUGGGCGUUAAACUUCUUUUGUGCGGGAGCAAUAAUGGUCACGUGUGGCAAGACGAGAGUACCGUACGAAUAAGCAUCGGCGAAAUCCGUGCCAGCAGCCGCGGUAAUACGGGGGAUGCAAGGGUUAUCCGGAUUUAUUGGGUUUAAAGGUUGCGUGGGCUGGGAGGUAAGUCAGCGGUGAAAUGCCACCGCUCAACGGGGGGAAGGGCCAUUGAUAAUGGCUAGCUGGAAUGCGGAUGCGGUGAGAGGAAUGUGUGGUGGAGCGGUGAAAUGCAUAGAUAUCA